UUGGGGCAACUGAAUGGAGCUGACCAUUUACUGGCUGGACGCCCUUCCUAACACCUAUGCAGAGCUAACAGCAGAUAUUCUCUCUUUGUGCCUAGUGAGAGAAAUAUCUGCUGCUA